UACGGAGGGAGCUAGCGUUGUUCGGAAUUACUGGGCGUAAAGCGUGCGUAGACGGCUAUCUAAGUCGGGUGUGAAAGCCCCGGGCUCAACCUGGGAAUUGCAUUCGAGACUGAAUAGCUAGGGUGCGGUAGAGGGAAGCGGAAUUUCCGGUGUAGCGGUGAAAUGCGUAGAUAUCGGAAGGAACAUCAGUGGCGAAAGCGGCUUCCUGGACCAGCACCGACGUUCAGGCACGAAAGCGUGGGGAGCAAACAG
rnacentral:rRNA from 1 species